ACUAUUAGCUUGUUGGUGGGGUAAUGGCCUACCAAGGCGACGAUGGUUAGCGGGCGUGAGAGCGUGGCCCGUCUCACUGGGACUGAGAUACUGCCCAGACACCUACGGGUGGCUGCAGUCGAGAAUCUUUGGCAAUGGGCGCAAGCCUGACCAAGCGAUGCCGCGUGCGGGAUUAAGGCCUUCGGGUUGUAAACCGCUGUCAGAGGGGAAGAAAUUUUGACUGAUCCUCAGAGGAAGGACGGGCUAAGUUCGUGCCAGCAGCCGCGGUAAGACGAACCGUCCGAACGUUAUUCGGAAUUACUGGGCUUAAAGGGUGCGUAGGCGGCCCUACAAGUCAGGUGUGAAAUCCCACGGCUCAACCGUGGAACUGCGCUUGAAACUGUAGGGCUUGAGGGAGAUAGGGGUGAGCGGAACUGAUGGUGGAGCGGUGAAAUGCGUUGAUAUCAUCAUGAACACCGGGCGGCGAAGGCGGCUCACUGGGUCUCUACUGACGCUGAGGCACGAAAGCUAGGGG
rnacentral:rRNA from 1 species